rnacentral:lncRNA from 1 species
UUUCUAUUUCUGUAAUGGAAUAGAAAAUCUAGCUUAUGUACUUGUAAGGAUUUUCCUCCUCCCUUUUGAACUAUGGGGAAGUAACUAUGAGAGAAUUACAUUUUUUUUUUGGUUUAUGUAGAAACUCAAUUUAUUGGUAAUUGUGGAGUAGUUUAGAAGGUGAUCCGUUACCUUGUUUUAGGAGUGGAUUGAUAUUAAAGGAUGAUUUAAAUCUCCGUAUAUGUUUUGUUGCGUUUGGAAAAAUUGUUAUACAACAUUGCAUUAUUAUAACUGUGUUAUGCUUAAUAUCCUUUUUAUUUUUAUGAAGGCGAUUCUAGCUUUGAGAAAGGGUGGUAAUUGCAUCAGGUUAACAUUUAUGGUAAAACUAUAAAUAAGAAUACAAAUCCUUAUUAACAACAUUUUGUAGAUAUGAAACAAUAAAUAAGAAUGCAGAUACCUGCUCUCAGCAUCUCAUUCACUACCUUGCUGUGAGAAAACUAGAAACUAAAACCUACCUGGUUUUCCCACAAUUUUGAGCUGAAAUGGAAUUUCUCUUGUUAUUUCUGUUGUCAAAAUCCUGUUAUGUAUGAUUGUCAGUCCCUAAAUAGCUGCUUAAAUUAAGGUUACUAAGGGCUUCAGUUUUUUAGAGCUUGGGGAGUGGGAAGUGGAAUUAGGUUUAGAGUUAUUACACUGGUUAGAUUGGUUGUUUAAGUGUCUAAUUAAAACAAAAAAAUUGCUAUUUCUGUAAAGGAAGGAGGGGAUUCUGGUUUUGACAAUGAUGGCUGGGGUCUAUGGGUCAGCUAGGUUUUGGCUGUAGAAAAAGGUCUAUUGUCGGCCGGGGAAAAAUAAGGCAAAUAGAGGGGUGUCUGUAUAUGUAACACAGUAACAGUGUGCUAACUAGCAAAGCAAAUAAAACAGAGGAGAAAAGAAAACGAGGAAGAAUCUUCUAAAGAUCUCAUCUGAAAAUAAAUCAAUUAUCAAUAGGGAUCUGCAGAAUAUCAUUAUUCAUUUUAUUGGUUAAUUCUCUAAAAUUCCUGCCUGUUUAGAAGCACAGUUACCAAAUCCUCUAUCUUCUUAUCCUAGACUCUAAAUAACUGCAGUAAGAGACUUCUGUAGGCUGUGCUUACAUGGAACGAAAAUAUUCCAUGAUGCUUAGGUGCUAAAUCCUACUCUAUCCAAAUUUAGAAACUUCCACAAAAAAUAAGGAAAUUCUUCAUAAUCCAAUAAGAGCAUUAUAAUAAACUACUUAAUGCAAAAAAAGAAAUGGCACUUUAGUUUACACUCUAGUUACUGAUUAAAUUAACAAGUUUACCCGCUGAAUAUAGAAUCUUCAAAUUUCUCCAUAUUCCAAAAUGUUAAAACCAGCACUUAGGUGCUAAACGCUUAAGAGCAUGAUACUUUUGGAGUUUAUGCUUUGCUUAUAAAAAUUAACUUCUCUUUUAAUGUCAUACUUCAUGUUUGUUAUUUUUUUGAUAACAUAUGUGUGAUCUAUUUACUUUGUCUUUAAUGCACCUGUCGUUUUGGAAGCAGAAACUAUUUUCAUUUCACUUUCUCAUAUUUAGUCUUCAUUGGAUAAUGAUUUUGAUUAAAUAUUAGUAAAAAAAUUGUUAUAUUAAUGGUUAAUUUGAACACAGCACAAGGGUCACAGUUUCACAUUAGUGAUUUAUUUUGAUUGGCUUGAAUUUACUCUAAACUUUUGCUUCUGCUUGUUUUUACAAAUUUACAUUUUACAGGGAAGAAUACUUCCUUUCAGAAGGAUAGAUGGCUACACUUCAAGAUAUAGCGCUUGCAGCAGCUAUUAAUAUUCUCAGUGCCUGUAUUUUCUUUUUGGCAUUUGCCGUUCUGAGGAUUCAACCUUUCAAUGAUAGAGUAUACUUUCCAAAAUGGUAUCUUAAGGGUUUGAGAAGCAGCCCAACACGCUCGGGAGCUUUUGUACAAAGGUUUGUCAAUUUGGACUUCAGGUCUUACUUGAGGUUUCUGAAUUGGAUGCCAGAUGCCCUGAAAAUGCCAGAACCUGAGCUUAUUGAACAUGCAGGAUUAGAUUCUGCUGUCUACUUGCGUAUUUACUUGAUAGGGUAUGGAUCUCAAUAUGUCAUCUAUUUUGUUUUUCUUCCAGUUGCUUGUUAUUAGUUAAGCUGUCAUCAGUGCUUGUAGCUCCAUAAUUGCUGGUUGCAUUGUCAAAGAUUUUCUGUUAAUUCCUUUCGUUAUGAAUGAGUUGUUCUUGUGCUGUGGAUGAUAUCAUAUCACCUGAGUACUCCUUUGUUAUAAUUGAUACAUUGCAACUAUUUCCUUUGCUUUAGUUUCAACAAGCAUGACUGACUGUCUAUUACUUUAGUAUUUUGCUUGCUAUUCGGGGAAUGUUCCUUUGACUUUAUUGUAUUUAUCUAUGCAGGCUUAAAUUAUUUGUUCCCAUAACAUUCCUUGCAUGGGCUAUCCUGGUACCAGUUAAUUGGACAAAUGCCAGUAACACUUUAGCACAAUCCAAAGCAACUUACAGUGACAUCGAUAAGCUCUCAAUUUCAAAUACUCCACUUGGAUCAGAACGGUGUGAAACCCUUGAUUAUUGCCAAGUUUUUCUUCAUUUUAACCUGUCAAAUUCCUAAAUAUGAUGAAUUGUUCCUGUAUUUCAUAUGCAUGCAUGCAGUACCAUAAUUUAUCGUGUGGUAUGUGCUCACUUUUACAACCAUUGAUAUUAUAAAGUUCUGUAUGUUUGCCUGUUGAAAAAAAAAAAAAAAGAAAUUCUGUGUGUUUUCAAAAGUAUCAAUAUUGCACAUUGUUAGAGACAUAAGGCAGGAUCUCAAGGGUUUUUUGAAGCCUGGUGGUUUUGGGUUGGCAAUUGAGGCGAAGAAUUGGACCCUGCUGGUGGAAGGCCUGAAAGAGAUAUUCACAAUAGUGGUCUCUGACCAAUUGAUGGAGGUGGAUUCCCAGAUUGUUCUUUUCUGCGUGUCUCAGGAUGGUAGAGGGCUUUGGAUAUCAUGCAUUUUUCCUAGAGAUGUGGAAGAAUGCAUGUCUUUAGAUAGACUCUUUACCAUCCUGGUAUCGUGGUAAAGCUCUCUUUUAAGGGGAGUAAGGGAGGGAAGGGUUUGGGAUUUAUUUAUACCAGUGCAUGAUCCUUAUGACCUUAAGGUGGAGUGAUGUUUGGGAUUUGAACCAGUGGAUGAUCCAUAUCAUGGUAUGUUGGUCAAAGCUCUUUUUUAGACAGGAUAAGGGAGGGAAGGGUUUGGGAUUUAUACCAGUGCAUGAUCCUUAUGACCUUAAACCUUAAGGCGGAGUGAUGUUUGGUAUUUGAACCAGUGGAUGAUCCAUAUCAUGGUAUGUUGGUCAAAGCUCUUUUUUAGACAGGAUAAGGGAGGGAAGGGUUUGGGAUUUAUACCAGUGCGUGAUCCUUAUGACCUUAAGGUGGAGUGAUGUUUGGGAUUUGAACUAGUGGAUGAUCCAUAUCAUGGUAUGUUGGUCAAAGCUCUUUUUUAGACAGGGUAAAGGAAAGAGUGAUUUGGGAUUUCAACCAGUGCAUGAUCCUCUUUAAGUGGGAGUGAGGUUUGGGAUUUGAGCCAGAGGCGGAUGGAUGGCUGCAUGUUGAUAUGGUGAUAAAAGCUCUCUUUUAGAGGGUGUAAGUAAGGGAGAGAGAGUUUGGGAUUUUGAACCGGUGGAUGGCACAUGUGAACUGUAUAAUUAUCUUUAUUGCAACUCAUUCAUGCAAUUCUUUUUAUCAAUAAUUCUGAUUUUCAACAAUAUCUACUUUUUCUUCUUUAUUGGUAUAAUGACUUGGAUAUCAAUUAUUCUGAUUACUGGAUUGCAGGUUUUGGUCCCAUAUAGUGAUGGCCUAUGCCUUCACCUUUUGGACAUGCUAUCUGCUGCAAAAGGAAUAUGAAAUAAUUGCAUCAAUGCGGUUACAAUUUCUUGCAUCAGAAAAACGCCGUCCAGAUCAAUUUACAGUAAGAACAACACUAUGUCUUAUCAAAUUAGUAUAGUUGAAGAAGAAUUUAAUUUUCUAAUCAUCUUUGAUUUGUUGUAAUUUCCUUUUACAGUUAAAAGUUUGAUUUUAAGGAUCCUCUUUAACUGGUUAGUAUGAAUCAAAGUGCAAAACCUUGAUUAGGUUUUGCAUUCAUUUAACAUCUUGAAACAAGGUUGAGGUUUGUGAAUGUGUGAAGAUGGCUGGAAGCAGUAGACUAUAUUUAUAUUUUCUGUUCUUGUUCGCACUGGAGAGUGCAUGUUUGUGAAUACCAUCACCAAUAUCCUACAUUCUGCAGUUUGCAGAGUGAUCUCAUUGAAUCCCUUUUUGUCUUGAAUCUAGAUAGAUCUUCAAUGAGUGCAUUUCAGACCAAUUAGCUGAUAAAAUAUUGCUAUAUGUCCAUGUACUGCAAACAGGCUAUAUGCUUUCAGAAAUAUGCUCUGGAAUCAUCAUUUAGCACAAGCUGUAACUUCUAUUAUUCAAUUUCAACUUUUUAUUGAGGUGUUUUCAACUUUUUAUGUUAAUCUUUUUUUCUUGUGUUCCUAGGAAUUCAACUGCAUCAGCAAUUGGAAGGUUUUAGAGAUUUUUGAAGAGAAAAAUUAUGGUUUUCUUUUACUACAUAUGUGUGCAUUUAUGUAGCUAUAUAUGUAUGUAUGUGCUUAAGUAUGUAUAUAAAUAAAUUCUCUAAAGCCGAUAUAAUCUAACUUUCUUUGACUUCCAUCUUUAUUUUGUUUACUUAGAGAUUAUAGUCUAACUAUCACGACCUGUUCCAUGGACCUGUUCAAAUGUAGUCCAAUACAUUUGACCCUGUAGGGAAAAGGGAAUUGAAUUGCCUUGAUAUUUGGGUUCAAUUUGCUGCCUUUGCUAAGAUUCACAUAAAAUUCUCAAAAGAUAAGGUUAUAGUUACAUAAUUCACAUAAAGUUCCCAAAAGAUAAGAAAAUGGUUAAACUUUCUAGCCAUUAAAAAUACUAUAUUGUAGUGAAAGGUUGAAUAGAGUAGCUCUUUUAGCAUCCUAAAAAUUGGAUUUGUUUUUUUAAGCAGUUGGUUUUGAUUGUAAAAAGAGCAAUAUUCAUUUAGGUUUACUAGUUAUACAGCUCCAAAUUAUAUAUUUUCAUGAUUCCUUCCUUUUCAUUGCCAUGUUUGUGUAAUGGAUUUUGGUUAUUUGCAGGUCCUUGUUAGGAAUGUGCCCCCAGACGCAGAUGAAUCUGUUAGUGAGCUUGUGGAGCAUUUUUUCCUGGUCAAUCAUUCAGAUAACUAUCUUACUCAUCAGGUUGGACUGCUUUAAACUUAUGCAUGAUUUUAGAAGUUCUAAUAGGAAAAAUUGGAGAUGCUAAUGAAAGUAAGUAGCAAUUGAUGAUCUCUAGAACCCAAAUUAGGCGCUUACAAGCCAUGAUAUGAUCUUAAAUACUUAAAACAAAUGAAAUUAGAAGGUAAUUAUCAGAAACCUUUGAGAUCAAGCUUGGUGCUGAGAGAGAUCUUGUAUUUCAAGGGUCUUUGGCCUCCUCCUUAUCAUAGACAAACACUAAAAUAAUCAUCAUUCUUAAGCUUUAUAUGGAAAUGUAAUUUAUUUAUCGAACUUUUGUGAUUAUGUUCUAUUGAAAACUGGACCUUUGCAAUUGCUACAGUUUGAAAUAAUGGCUGUAGUUUCUCAAUAUAGGAUGGCUCCUGUAAUAUCCCUGAUUGUCUACAAAUGCAUCCCUCUGACAUCAAUAACACUGAGACUGUUUUGUAUAAUUGAUAAUGGCCUAUUAUAUAGUUUGAUUGAGUAAAUAUUUGGUGAUACUUUGCAAGUGGUAUUAUGAUUCUAUAGCCCAAUCAUAACAGUAGGUGUCUUUUAUAGAAGUGAAAAUAAAUUCCAAACAUUUUGUUUUAAAUUUUCUUUAGUUUGAACGUUUCAUACUAUGGCCUAGGUAGUUCAAGUAAAUAAUUGAUCAAAGAAUAUCUGAUAAUGAAUGCUGAGGUAAAAUUUUUAGUUCUUACAUGAUUAAACCUAGGAUUGGAUCGAAUUUUUAAUAUCCAAAACUUAUGUGCUUUGCUUUAGAUUAAUGCAACACAGCAUGUAAUGAACUAGGAAAAAAUUUUAUUUCUUACAUGAUUAUACCUAGGAUUGUAUCAAAAUUUCAAUAUCCAAAGCUUAUGUGUUUGCAUCUACAUCAUGUAAUGAACUUUUUUAAGUUACGUUGUGUUGUGAACUGUCCUAUUUCACUGUUCUGUUGCAUACUUCUUAUAUCUGAGACUUGCUAGCAUAUAUUGAUAAGUUCUGUUGUUGCCUAUGGGAGAGGGGGAGUGAUCAGAUGUGUAUUUGGUGUCUUGAAUUGUUGCCCGAAUUCAAAAGUAUAAAACCCCCUCAUUUUCUAAAGGGCACUUAGAUUAAUAUCAAUAGUAGUGCAAUGCUUUAAGAUGACAUCAUUGCCUAUGGAAGAGGGCAGUGCUUGGAUGUGAUUAUUUGCUGUCUUGUAAUGUUGCCCAAACUCAAAGUGGGUUACUUUUUUAAAGGGUGAUUGGUUGGUUUCCAUUUCUUUAGAAAAUCUAGUAUAAACAUUGAAAUGGGUAAUUCAAAAUAUAAAGCAUUAAAAUGUUUAUAUUCAAUUUCCUAAUUUAGAAGUUUUAUGCAGGUUGUAUAUGAUGCAAAUAAACUUGCAAAAUUGGUCAAGAAGAAGGAAAAAAUGCAGAAUUGGCUUGACUAUUAUCAAAUUAAAUAUUCUAGAAAUGAAUCAAGCAGGCCCUUUCUGAAGGUAAAGUGAUGUCUUUAAAAGCAGUCUUUUAUCUCUUGCUCUAGCUUAAUAUAUGCUAUACUAUUUCUUCCUCUUGAUUCUUGUUCUCACUUUAUGUUUAAUUUCUCAUUAUCAGACUGGUUUUCUUGGCCUUUGGGGAAACAGAGUGGAUGCAAUGGAUUUUUACACAUCCGAAAUUGAGAAACUCUGCAAAGAAGUAAUUGCCACUCGUCUAACUUCUUGUGUGAUGCUUGCCUUUUUUCCAAAGUUUUGUCACCGUUUUUUGAUCUCCUUUUAUUUAUUUCUUUAUUUUUAUAAGCAUAUAUGUUAGUUCCCUUUGAUGCAUAUAUUUUAUACCAUUAUAUUUAAAAGCAAGGUGAAAAAGGCUGAGGUUUUUCAUUUCUUAUUCUGAAAUGAUGCUGCAAAACUCGAUAUGAUCUUGAAGACCAGAUCUGUAAUCUCAAUCAUGUGCCAGAAUGCUGAGCUGGUUUAUAUUCUUAAAACUGUUGCAAAAGAUACCUAGAUGAUGCAAAGAAAUGUGUUAGUAUUUAAUAAUUUCUUGUGUCCUACAACUAUGAGACAACGCCAAAUCAACCUUUUCUAUUAUGGUCACUAGCAAGAUGCUUGUUAGACUAUAAUAUCAGGUAUUUUGGGCGAAAUCAGCUAUCUCAAUAUGGACACUAACAUAAGAAGCUUGGGUAGUAGACUUUGUGAUAUCAAGGACUAGGCUUUGUUUAGUUCUCCAAAAUGAUGAGCGGAGAAAAAAAAAAUGUUGAAAAUAGAUUACUUUCUUAAGCAUUAUUUUCUCCUCUCCCGAUCAUUUCUAGACCCAAAUGUAGCAUCAAAGCAGUUUACCUAGUUGCAUGAAAACAAAUGCUGCUUAGUUUUAAUAUAAGUAGACAUUAUAGUAGAGUUGGUUUCAAGGGGGGGGGGGGGGGGGAGAGGUAUGAAUGGAGGGUGAAAUUCUGAAAGGAUAGGGUGGUGUGGUGUACUCUUGGGGGAGGCUUUUCCUAUAUUGUUCUCAGUAGCCACUGCCAAAGAUGCAUGGCUACCAGCCGAGGUGUGGGAGUAAGAAGGUGAGGAGGGUGAGGAGGCUUUUCCUAUAUUGUUCUCAGUAGCCACUGCCAAAGAUGCAUGGCUACCAGCCGAGGUGUGGGAGUAAGAAGGUGAGGAGGGUGAGGAGGCUUUUCCUAUAUUGUUCUCAGUAGCCACUGCCAAAGAUGCAUGGGUACCAGCCGAGGUGUGGGAGUAAGAAGGUGAGGAGGGUAGUUGGAACCCCCAAUUCACAAGAUAGAUUCAUGAUUGGGAUCUAGACGGGGUGAAGGUGUGGGAGUAAGAAGGUGAGGAGGCUUUUCCUAUAUUGUUCUCAGUAGCCACUGCCAAAGAUUGCAUGGGUACCAGCUGAGGUGUGGGAGUAAGAAGGUGAGGAGGGUAGUUGGAACCCCCAAUUCACAAGAUAGAUUCAUGAUUGGGAUCUAGACGGGGUGAAGGUCUUUUUUAGGAGAUCGCAAACACAAACAAUUUCUAGGGAUAUGGAGGAUAAGAUGGUUUGGUUGAAAGAAUAGAGGCAUUCCAUUUUUGUUUUUGAUAGGUAGAAAGAUGCAUGGGUACCAGCCGAGGUGUGGGAGUAAGAAGGUGAGGAGGGUAGUUGGAACCCCAAAUUCACAAGAUAGAUUCAUGAUUGGGAUCUAGAUGGGGUGAAGGUCUUUUUUAGGAGAUUGCAAGCACAAACAAUUUGUAGGGAUAUGGAGGAUAAGAUGGUUUGGUUGAAAGAAUAGAGGCAUUCCAUUUUUGUUUUUGAUAGGUAGAAAGAAUAGAGGCAAUUCUUAUAAGUAUUGUUUAGAAUCUUUGGAAUCCAGUGAGGGUUGGCUUUUCACUUUGGAAGCUAAAUGGGGAAAGAAAUUGAAGUUUGAUUAACUCAAAAUGAGGGGUUGAAGGAUUCUAAAUAGAUAUGAUAUAUGCAAAGGAGAAGAAGAAAUGUUGUGGCAAUUAAUUUAUGCUCUAUUUGGGAUAAAGUGGGCGAUGCACUCUUGAGUAAGAGAUGCCCUUUUGAGUUGUGACUACUAAUUUUCUCUAUCUGGGAUAAAGUGGGUGAUGCACUCUUGAGUAAGAGAUGCCUUUUUAAGUUGGCAUGAAUCCUUUUUUUUUUUUUUUUUGGGAAGAAAUGGAAAAAAGUCUGAAGAACAACUCCUUUUUGCUUAUUUUAAACCAUAUGGAAGGAGAGAAAUAGGACUACUAAUUUAUAUGCUCUAUUUGGGAUAAAGUGGGCGAUGCACUCCUGAGUAAGAGACACCUUUUUAAGCUGACAUGAAUCUGUUUUUUGGGAAGAAGUGGAAGAAAGGUUGAAGAACCACGCCUUUUUGCUUAUUUUAUGGAAGGAGAUAAAUAGGAGAGCUAAUUUAUGCUCUAUUUGGGGUAAAGUGGGUGACGUACUCCUAAGUAAGAGACAAACCCUUUGAGUUAGCAUGGGUUUUUUUUGUUGGGAAGAAGUGGAAGAAAGUUCGGAAAACUGUUCCUUAGUACUGAUUUUAGACCAUAUGAAAUGAGAGAAAUAGGAGAGCGUUAUGGUACCGAAAAAAUGGAUUAAGCAAUCAAACUAUCAUUAUGUAUAAUCUUUUGAAAUGGUUUAAAGUGUGUAUAGAAGAUUUCUCAUUGUCUAUGAUAUAAUUGUUUUUGGUGUAUCCCUCCGCUUUGGUUGGCCUUUUGGUGCCUUCAUAUAUGGUAGUCUAUGCUUUUGUGCAUCCUUUUUUUUAGAUAUUGUUCCUAGUCCUUUUUCCUUUGUAGACUUUGUGGAGUGGUUGAGUUCAGGCUAAGGGGGUUGUUGUUGGUGUCCCUCUUUGUUUUUGUGUUGCCUUAUGGUGUUUCUUUGUAUAUGUCCUGUGUAUUUUGGAACUCAUUUUUUGGCGUUACUUUUUCUAAAAUGAUUCUGAUUACCUAUCAAAAAAAAAUUAUAAAUCGACUUCACCUAUCAAAAAAAAUAAAAAACGUAGAACAUUACAGUAGUUGUCAGUUUGGCUGAAACUGGAACAAGAUGAAGUUUUCUUCUGAUCCUAUUAGUUGUAGAUAUCUAACCACAAAAAUUCUCUUGAAAUCUAACCACGAAAAUUCUCUUGAAGAUUCUCCAAGAUUUCCAUGGGAUUAGGCAAGUUCAAAGACUUUUCUUUAUGUUGGCUGUGACUUUUCUUUUUUCAGUUUUCUUUUUGCUUUUUCUGGUGUUUCUUUUCUUUUUCUUUUCUUUUUUUUCAUUUUUUUUGGGGGGGGGGGGGGGGGGGGGGGGGGGGGGGCGGGGAAAAAAAUUUUGGGAUUUUUUUUGGAAAAAAGUUGGAAAAGGCAAAAAAAAAAGGGAGUCCCUAAUUCCCCCAGCCCUUUUUUUUUUUUUAAAAGGUAUUUGGGGGCCCCUGAAAAAACCCAAAAAACCCCAAAUUGAAAAAAAAAAACCAAAAAAAUAAAAAAGGGGGGCCUUGGGGUUUUAUCACCCCCCCCAAAAAACCCGAAAAAUAUAAACUUUUUUCCCGAUAAAAACCCCCUUGCCAAAAAAAAAAAAAUUUAAAAAAAAAUUUUUUUUUUUCCCAUUCCCCAAUUUUCAAAAAAAAAAAAAUUUUUCCUUUUUUUUUUUUCGAAAAAACCCAAAAAAAAAAAAAAANNNNNNNNNNNNNNNNNNNNNNNNNNNNNNNNNNNNNNNNNNNNNNNNNNNNNNNNNNNNNNNNNNNNNNNNNNNNNNNNNNNNNNNNNNNNNNNNNNNNAAAAAAUAAAAAAAGGGAGAACCAUUUCAGUUUUUUUCACGUUGGGCUGAAAAGGGAAACAAGAGGGAAUUUUUCUUUCUGAUCCUAUUAGAUGGGAGAUGUCUAACCACCCAAAAUUCUCUUGAAAUGUAACCAAGAAAAAUUCUUUUGAAGAAUUUUCCUAGAUUUCCAUGGGAUUAGCCAAGUUCAAAGACUUUUCUUUAUGUUGGCUGUGACUUUUUUUUUUUCAUUUUUUUUUUUUUUUUUUUUGGGGUUUUUUUUUUUUUUUUUUUUUUUUUUUUUUUUUUUUUUGGGGGGGGGGGGGGGGGGGGGCGGGGCGGGGCAUGGGUAGAAAUGCUUGGCAGUUUUUUGGAGAAGAGGUUGGAAAGUGCAAAUGAAAGAGGUAGUCCUAUAUUCCACAUGCACUUUUAUUUUUCUGAUAUGCAUAUUGGGGACACAUGAAAUACAUCAAGAGCACCUAAAUGCAAAAGGAAAACCUAAGAGUAUGAAAAUGGGCUGCCUUGGGCUUAUAUCAACCUACCGAUGAACUCUGAUAAUUAUAAGCUUCUUUCCUGUAUAGAGUCCCUUGACCAAACAAACAGAGAUUUAAGGAAAAUCUCUUUCAGUUCCAUAUCCAACAUUUCCAAGAUGAAAAAACUUCUGCAAUUUUAUUUGUCGCAAAGACACUGAAAUAAGCAUGAAGAGGCUUUUUCUCCAGACUUGCCUUCUACACUGCUGCACAAAAUUGCAUUUCCACAUGCCUAGCUUCUGUCACUUGCACCUUUCAAGACUAUUGAUAUAUAGGAAAUGAUAGUUCAAAAAUGUUAGAGAAGAUUGUAGAAUAAAUUGUGCUACUUCUGAACUCUAUUUCCUCAAAAUUUCCUAUGCUAUUAAGGGCGAUAUGCACAAUCCUUUUUCCUAAAAGGGGGAAAGACUAGUGCUCAUCUGAAGCUCCCUAGCCAAUUUCCUUACCCUAUUUGUAAUGCAAUCUUCUAGAGCCUUGAAAAUUGAGAGGAUCAAAAGGAAAUCUUAUGCACUUUCAAGGGUGAUGAAUUAUGUUGGUGAAGUGGAAUAAUCUAUAUGCUAUGGAACAGGAGGAUGAGUUUGAAACUUAUGCUAGUCAAACAUGAAGAUGCUCUCUUAGGUAAGUAGCUUUGGAUGUUCUCUGUGUGCCUGUACAUUCAUUACAGACAAAUGUGAUUAUAGCAUAAGAUUUGGCAUGUAAUCUAGACUUUAGGGUUGGGGUUAAUAAUACAUAUGGUUGUGGCCUUGGGAUAUCCAUGUUGGUUAUUUAACUAUUUUCUAUAAACAGGUAUGCAGUUAAAUUUUGGAAUUGGAUGUGUUGCUGUGAACUCAUAUAUGAAGGUUAUACAAGUUUUAAGGGUCUGGAGGAUGUUAUAAACUUAGCUGAUAACAAAAAAAGGAAAAAGACUAUAUGGAUCACUCUUAAAAAAUGGAUUAAUAAUGUACCUACGAAUACUGAUGAUUCCAGGGUGGACUUACCCUGGUCCCACAAUAUUCAAAGGAUAAAAGCACAUGGGUCAGCAAUUGCUGGGCUAGAUUUAAUUGAGUAGGGAGGGAUUUGAGGUUUGUAUUAGCCCUUAGAGGAUGUCAUGUAUCAGAUUUCCUUACAUACCAGGAUGUCUCUUUUGGACUAACCACAUGCCCGCUGUGUUGUUUUGAAUUUUGUAUAAAGGCUUGUUUUAAUAUUAUGUGGGUAUUCUUCUUUUUCUUUCUGUUCUAAUCAUUGCAUUUCAUAUUUUAGAUAUCUGUGGAGAGAGAAAGGGUUGCAAAUGAUCCUAAGUCUAUCAUGCCCGCAGCAUUUGUUUCCUUCAAAACUCGGUGGGGUGCUGCUGUUUGUGCACAAACUCAACAAUCUAGAAAUCCAACUUUAUGGUUAACUGAGUGGGCUCCGGAGCCACGUGAUGUAUAUUGGCAUAACCUGGCAAUUCCAUUUGUUUCACUCACGGUUAGGAGGCUUAUAAUUGCCGUUGCAUUCUUUUUUCUCACCUUCUUUUACAUGAUCCCCAUUGCAUUUGUGCAAUCGCUUGCAAGCAUUGAGGGAAUUGAGAAAGCUGUGCCAUUCCUGAGGCCCAUUAUUGAAAAGUAAGUUCUUUCCCACUCUCAGAUUUCUUUUACAAAUGGAGAAUUUGUUAGCCAUUGAUGAGUGAUCAAUAUUCAAACAUACAAAAUCAGCUGUUCAGCAUCUUUUUCUACUACAUGAUUAAUUACUCCCUGAUUUGUUAUCCAGGAAGUUCAUCAAGUCACUAAUCCAAGGUUUUCUACCUGGGAUUGUUCUGAAGAUUUUCCUCAUUGUUCUACCAACCAUAUUGAUGCUGAUGUCUAAAUUUGAAGGGUUCAUUUCAAUAUCAUCUUUAGAAAGGAGAUCAGCAUCUAGAUAUUAUCUUUUCAACUUUGUGAAUGUAUUUCUUGGGAGCAUAAUCACUGGAAGUGCACUUGAACAACUAAAUACCUUUAUGAAGCAGUCGCCAAAUCAGUAAGUUAUCACUAAUGCACCAUUUUAUUUUAUUUUUUUGAUGGGUACUAAUGCACCAUUAUUAUGCUUGUUAAGUUAUACACUGUUUUGUGUGUGUGUGUGGAUUUGGGUAGCAUCAGUUAGCCAGGAUUUUAAUUUUUAAACAAUAGGAGAGAUGGUUGUACCAAGAAAGCUUGGGAGAGGGGGGAGAGGGGGCCGCACAUGCUAGGAUGGUGGGGUCUUACUUUCAGUUGAGAACACACAUUUACAGGGAAGGGAAAGGAGGGACGGAGGCACUUUUUGGAAGGAUCGAUUCUAUAUUUGAUAUUUGUAAUAUAUUUUUGGCCUUUGGGGGCAGGGAGGUAGCUAUUGGUAGAGUUGACUGUGGAAGUUACCUUUAUAUCCCUGGAAACUUAGUAAAAAAAUCAAAGACAGGUUAAUACCUGAAUAAACCUUUUGCCAUUAAUAUCUUUGUGUAUCUUGUUUACUCCUUUUGUCUAUAUGUCUCUAUCAGUGUCCCUUAAUUUCACAUGUGUCAUUCUAAGGAUAAUCUAAAAGAAUAACAUUUGAAACCUAUUAGAGCAAUAUUAAUUUUGAAGAAUCUUGAAUAAGUUAAAAUAAUUUAAUUGAGAAAGCAUCUUAUAUUAUAUAUCUAAUAAACAUAUUUACUGUUUCUUUAAUACAUAAUAAUACAUGUGAACAUUAGACUUCCCCUAUGGUUGUUUUCGACCCUCAAGGUCAUAGCACUAUGCUGAGUGAGGACCUUUGAGCUUGAAGGCUGCAGCCUGACUUUGAGUUCUAGCCACAUGUCAGUUGCAUUACAGUCAUUUUAUUUUGUAUUUCUAUUUAUUUAUUUUAAAUCAAUGCUAUGCAGUUUGAAUUCAUGUUGUGACUUCUAUAUAACUGCAUAAACUAUCAAGCUUUUCGCUGUUUUGAUUGUAUAUAAUCUAAUCUUGUGAAAUGAUUUCAUAAAGUUAGUGGUUACUUCAUUUUUCAGAAUUCCUAGAACAAUUGGGGUAGCAAUUCCAAUGAAAGCAACUUUCUUCAUAUCUUACAUAAUGGUUGAUGGAUGGGCUGGCAUAGCAGCAGAGAUUUUAAUGUUGAAACCACUGAUAAUCUUCCACUUGAAGAAUUUCUUCUUGGUGAAGACUGAAAAGGACAGGGAGGAGGCAAUGGAUCCAGGAAGUAUUGGUUUCAAUACUGGUGAACCUCGAAUACAAUUAUAUUUUUUACUGGGCCUUGUCUAUGCUGUGGUGACACCAGUGCUACUUCCUUUCAUAAUUGUUUUCUUUUGCCUGGCAUAUGUCGUAUUCCGCCAUCAGGUAAAAAGUUGACAUUUUGAUUAUAAAAUCUUAAAUAUAAAGGGUAAUCAGGAUUGAGUGCACAAACAUCCUCAAGAAUGCCUAUUUUCAAUCCAAUAUUUUGAUCCCAACUUAUGAUGAUCAUCAGUCCACUCUAGGACAUCUUUACAGUCUAAAAUUUGGAUAAUUUUGUACCAUUUGAUUUUAGUAGAACUUCUGGAAAAUGCGCACACAUGUGGUGGUGGGUCCUAAAUCAUCCUGAUCCACUUAACAUGUGCCAUAUGAGAUGUUUUAGAAAGCUAGUCAAGUCUUGGCUACCAUGAAUUUGAUGGGUGAUCCAAACACAUUUCACUUCAUGUUAUUUCCAAAUUGCAAGUUAAGGGAGUUGCAGAAGGAAGAACAUUCCUUUCAAGGAGUGUCCACCCAUAAGCAAGAACAACUGCUUUAGUUUUAGUACCGCCAGCUAGAAAUGUUAGUCAUCAAUAAAAUAUUUUCCCACAUUCCCACUUGUAUCGUGUUCAUUAUCAACGUAAAUUAUUUUUUUCCCUAAAUUAUCAGAAAACCCCCAUAAUCAGAUUAAUUAUUUGCUGUUAUGCCUUUUUAUUUUCAGUUGUCUAGUAAAUUUUACCUUGAGGUAUUUUUUGAUAAUGCAGAUCAUUAAUGUUUACAAUCAAGAGUAUGAGAGUGGUGCAGCAUUCUGGCCGGAUGUUCAUGGGCGUAUUAUUGGUGCACUAAUCAUCUCACAGCUGCUUCUGAUGGGAUUAUUGAGUACUAAACAAGCUGCUCAGUCAACACCAUUUCUCAUUGCACUCCCAAUCCUGACCAUAUCAUUCCACUAUUACUGUAAAGGCCGUUUUGAACCUGCAUUCAUUAGAU